AAAUUGAAGAGUUUGAUCAUGGCUCAGAUUGAACGCUGGCGGCAGGCCUAACACAUGCAAGUCGAACGGUAACAGGAAGCAGCUUGCUGCUUCGCUGACGAGUGGCGGACGGGUGAGUAAUGUCUGGGAAACUGCCUGAUGGAGGGGGAUAACUACUGGAAACGGUAGCUAAUACCGCAUAAUGUCGCAAGACCAAAGAGGGGGACCUUCGGGCCUCUUGCCAUCGGAUGUGCCCAGAUGGGAUUAGCUAGUAGGUGGGGUAACGGCUCACCUAGGCGACGAUCCCUAGCUGGUCUGAGAGGAUGACCAGCCACACUGGAACUGAGACACGGUCCAGACUCCUACGGGAGGCAGCAGUGGGGAAUAUUGCACAAUGGGCGCAAGCCUGAUGCAGCCAUGCCGCGUGUAUGAAGAAGGCCUUCGGGUUGUAAAGUACUUUCAGCGGGGAGGAAGGGAGUAAAGUUAAUACCUUUGCUCAUUGACGUUACCCGCAGAAGAAGCACCGGCUAACUCCGUGCCAGCAGCCGCGGUAAUACGGAGGGUGCAAGCGUUAAUCGGAAUUACUGGGCGUAAAGCGCACGCAGGCGGUUUGUUAAGUCAGAUGUGAAAUCCCCGGGCUCAACCUGGGAACUGCAUCUGAUACUGGCAAGCUUGAGUCUCGUAGAGGGGGGUAGAAUUCCAGGUGUAGCGGUGAAAUGCGUAGAGAUCUGGAGGAAUA
rnacentral:rRNA from 1 species